rnacentral:rRNA from 1 species
CCUACGGGUGGCAGCAGUGAGGAAUAUUGGUCAAUGGACGAGAGUCUGAACCAGCCAAGUAGCGUGAAGGAUGACUGCCCUAUGGGUUGUAAACUUCUUUUAUAUGGGAAUAAAAUGUUCCACGUGUGGGAUUUUGUAUGUACCAUAUUAAUAAGGAUCGGCUAACUCCGUGCCAGCAGCCGCGGUAAUACGGAGGAUCCGAGCGUUAUCCGGAUUUAUUGGGUUUAAAGGGUGAGUAGGUGGAUUGUUAAGUCAGUUGUGAAAGUUUGCGGCUCAACCGUAAAAUUGCAGUUGAGACUGGCAGUCUUGAGUACAGUAGAGGUGGGCGGAAUUCGUGGUGUAGCGGUGAAAUGCUUAGAUAUCACGAAGAACUCCGAUUGCGAAGGCAGUUCACUGGACUGCAACUGACACUGAGGCUCGAAAGUGUGGGUAUCAAACAGGAUUAGAUACCCUGGUAGUC